UAGAGUUUGGGGUGGGCCAACUCAGAGCCCUGGAUCUGGGCCUGGGUGGUAGCUGAGUUGUUUAUCUCACUGGUUCUCCUUUAUCCACACCACAGGGGCAAGCUUUCCAGCUCUGCUUGUCAGCAGUAGGCAGGCCUACUGUGCUGUGAUCCCUGCUGCUGCAUAGACCCAGAGACCCAGACAUGGUCCUCAGCAGCAGCUCAGGCUGGGACUUUAUCCGUGGCUCCAGGUGAUGGAGCUGGCCACCCACAACAGGCUUCUCCUUUCCACCCUCGAGUCUCCAGUUCCAUCUCUCUUCAUAAUGCUCAAGCAUAAACCCGUGGUGUUUGGCUGACAGCAGCGAGCAAUGAAGUACUGCAGCUGAGAGUAUCUGGGAAGGUUGAUGCUGAGAUUGCUGGGACCUUGGAGACACAACUCUGCACAGAAUUGACAUUGGGAGCCCCUUAAUGAGUUUCUGCUUCUGAGAAGGGCGCUCGACAGCGAGCCGUUGCCCGGGCCUGGUGCCCAGUAUGUGAAGUUCCGAGACAGCUCGUCUAGGACGGCCGAGGCGUCGUCCUCGGGGGCUGUGCGCGCCGGAGCCGCCAUGAGGACUGAAUCCACGCGCUGGGACUCGGGCGCGGCCCUCCCGUCCGUCCUCCCGCAGCCGCAGCCACUUCCUGCCCGGCGACCCGGCGCCGGCACCUGGCUCCUGCGGCACGCAGGUGAGGUCCGGGCUCGGCCCAGUUGCCGCCGCUCCCUUCUGGGCCCCGGUGCCUACACCUGUCAGCGCAGGAAUGACAUCAUCUCUUUUGCCUCUGGGAUCUACUGUGCACAAAGCAAAUGUUUGUCCAAGUGCAGGGAGAAAAGGAGCUAUCCAUUAAUCUAAAGAGUGACCGGCACCCUUGGCAGUUCCAGUUCGCGCGUGUAAAAGGUUUAAAAUGUUCCACAUAUGGAAAAAAGAAAAAGCCAUAAUCUCCCUCUCCCCAAUAUUGGGCACAUUGUGAAUGAAGAGCCCAGCCACAGAGUGACCAUUAGGAACUAUUCGAAGAAUAGAGAAGAGAUAUCCUAUGGCAGCUGGAUAGGCUGUCAGAUAAGUUCAUAAAGAAUUGCUGAAACG